UUUUAGUGUAUUAUGCGAACGAUUUUGUUUAAAAAUCUAAAAGUGGAGAGAAUGGGAGGACUUUGAAAGAAAAUACAGAGAACAGAGAAAGUAAUGCGAGGAUAGUUUCCAUGCAAAUGCAUGUAAUUGUCUCUAGAAGGCCCUACAUUACUUUUAUGGGUUUUUUAAACAAUAUUUUAUUUUUGGGGGGACGUGAGCAUGCACUUGGAUUACACAUUCUACCGUAUCAUAAGAGAUGAUACAUGUGAUUUUUAUUAAGGUUGUUUCAGUUUUAUCAAGCAACUCAGUUUGAUCCUGAGUGGGGCCAUUUGUAUAGUUAGAGAUUGUUAGUAUUCGUUAAGGUAAUUACUAGUUAGUUAUAGUUAGUUUGUAGUUGGUUAUAUUAGUUAAGGUCAUGUUAAGGCAUUUGUUAAUGAUUUAAAAUAGAAACAAUUGAUAAAUUUAAAUAUAAAAAAAGUUAUUU
rnacentral:lncRNA from 1 species